GCCUGUGUGCUGUUGUGGUUUGAGUAUUUGAGGCUAGAACUCUGGAGACCAGGGUUCAAAUCCCUGCUCAGUCA